GUAGCACCCGGCCGCGAGGCCGGGUGAGGAUUGAAAC
rnacentral:other from 24 species